CCUACGGGAGGCUGCAGUAGGGAAUAUUGGACAAUGGGCGAAAGCCUGAUCCAGCCAUGCCGCGUGGUAGAUGAAGGCCCUCUGGGUUGUAAAUACCUUUUAUCUGGGAAGAAAUAUCUCGUUCUCGAGAAACUGACGGUACCAGAUGAAUAAGCACCGGCUAACUCCGUGCCAGCAGCCGCGGUAAUACGGAGGGUGCAAGCGUUAACCGGAUUUAAAGGGUGUGAAGGGUGCAUAAUCGGGCUGUUGAGAAAGCCCCGAGCUUAACUUGGGAAUUGCCAUUGAUACUGUUUUUCUUGAAUACGAUUGAGGUAAGCGGAAUGUUGCAUGUAGCGGUGAAAUGCUUAGAUAUGUUACAGAACACCAAUUGCGAAGGCAGCUUACUAAGUCGUCAUUGACGCUGAGGCACGAAAGCGUGGGGAGCAAACAGGAUUAGAUACCCUUGUAGUC
rnacentral:rRNA from 1 species